UUUAAGCGCAACCAUGAGUUUCCGUGUCCAACUUUGAUUGUCCGUCUUAUUUGAAUUUUUUUAUGAUUAGUAUUUUUAUUGUAUUAGAUGAUAAAACAUGAAUUGUACUUUAUGAGUGACUUAUAUUUUUAUUUUUUUUCAAAAUAUUUUUAAAUAAGACGGAUUAUUAAAUUUGGACACAGAAAUUCAUGGCUACGCUUAAA
rfam:Oryza glumipatula chromosome 6, whole genome shotgun sequence.